rfam:Burkholderia cenocepacia J2315 chromosome 2, complete genome
CUCUCCGUCUUUGGGGAGUAGCCUGCUUUCCGCCCCCGGAAAGCGAACGCGUCAACACACUCGGCUUGCGGCCGUGGCGCGUUCGGCCUGAUCGGCUUGGCGAGACCAUCGGCACAUCGCGUCGUUCCUGGUCGGACGUCGGCGGAUGUGUCAUGGUUCGUCAGCGUC